AAAUUUUGAGUCAUAACAGUCGUAUCAUAUUGUGCCUAAAAACUGGGCGACUAUGAUAUUUUGGUGUCUAAUUUGGGUACGUGGCUUCCAAUUUUCCACGCAUUGGGCACCCCUAAGUUAAAGGACUUUUAUAUGCCUUAUUUUUUCUUGGAAUAAUAAAUGCUAAUAUGGUUGGGUAGGUUAAAUUAUUGUGAACCACAUUAAAAUCCUCUUCUCCAUCGUCACUUUAAUUUGUAUGAUAAUAUAAAAGUAAUUGAUUGAUUAAAUAUAUUUGAAUUAGUGUGAGAAUGGAAAGCAUCACAUUCACAUGUUCAUUUAAUAUUCCAACUCACCACCCAUUCCCACAUGAUAAUCAAACUCAAACCCCGUAUCGUGUCUUCUCUUCUUCUCGUUUUCCUCUUUCGUCAUUAAUUUGGUGUGCACACCUCCAUUUGUGGCAGCAUUUAUAGUUCUACAUAAUAUGUUCAUUUUGCUAUAUUAUAAUCCCCCUUCUCUCUCCCUAUGUUCCUCCUCCUCCCCACCCUCCAUUCUUACUCUCCCACUCACCCAUCCUGAUUCACCGCCAUGGAAAUUCACCACCACGCCGGAGGAACCCAUUCCCACGCCGCUGCCGACGCCCUGCGGCGGGGAGAAGAGCGAGGGACUUACCUUGUGUGGGAGGAUCUCACCGUCAUGCUUCCUAAUUUCACCGAUGGCCCCACCAAGAGGCUACUCAAUGGCCUCCGUGGCUACGCCGACCCCGGCCGGAUUAUGGCCAUCAUGGGCCCUUCCGGCUCCGGCAAAUCCACCCUUCUUGAUACUCUUGCAGGGAGACUCUCCAAGAAUGUGGUAAUGACUGGACAUGUUUUCCUGAAUGGAAAGAAGAGGAAGCUCGGAAAUGGCGACGUUGCCUAUGUAACCCAAGAAGACAUACUAUUGGGAACUCUAACGGUGAAAGAAACCGUAAGCUACUCUGCCCAGCUGCGGCUUCCGAGUUCUAUGACCAAAGAUGAGCUCAACAACAUCGUGGAGGCAACGAUUUUGGAAAUGGGUCUUCAAGACUGCGCCGAUCGAUUGAUUGGGAAUUGGCAUCUUCGAGGAAUUAGUGGUGGGGAAAAGAAGAGAUUGAGUGUUGCGGUUGAAAUCCUCACACGCCCUCGUUUGCUUUUUCUUGAUGAACCCACCAGCGGCCUUGACAGUGCCUCCGCGUUCUUUGUCAUUCAAACUCUUAGAAAUGUUGCUCGUGAUGGGCGGACUGUUGUUUCUUCAAUUCACCAGCCGAGUAGUGAGGUUUUUGCGCUCUUUGAUGACCUUUUUUUGCUCUCUGGAGGUGAGGCUGUUUACUUUGGGGAAGCCAAAAUGGCUGUACAGUUCUUUGCUGAAGCUAAUUUUCCUUGUCCAAGUAGAAGGAAUCCAUCUGAUCACUUUCUUCGUUGUAUAAAUUCGGAUUUCGAUAUCGUUACAGCCACACUCAAAGGGUCUCUAAGAAUUAGAGAUAUCCCAGAAUCAUCAGACCCUUUCAUGAAUUUGGCAACAGCUCAAAUCAAGUCAUCGCUUGUUGAAAAAUAUAGGAGCUCACAGUAUGCAAGUAGAGUGAAGGCAAGAAUUCGAGAAAUCUCCACCAUUGAGGGACUUGAAGUUGAGGAUGAAAAAGGAGGCGGAGCUAGUUGGUUCAAGCAGCUUUCGACACUGACCCGUCGAUCAUUUGUUAAUAUGUGUAGGGAUGUCGGAUAUUAUUGGCUAAGGAUAAUUAUCUACGUGAUAGUCUCCUUAUGCGUUGGUACCAUCUACUUUGAUGUUGGAACCAGUUACACCGCAAUCUUAGCUCGAGGAGCCUGCGGUGGAUUUAUCACUGGCUUCAUGACAUUUAUGACUAUUGGGGGCUUUCCAUCUUUUACUGAGGAAAUGAAGAUGUUUUACAGAGAAAGGCUGAAUGGAUACUAUGGAGUUACAGUGUUCAUAUUGUCAAACUUCCUCUCUUCUUUACCGUUCUUGGUUUCGAUUUCAAUUGUUUCGGGUACCAUCACCUUCUACAUGGUGAAAUAUCGGCUGGAGUUCUCCCGCUACAUGUUCUUCUGCCUUAAUAUUUUUGGAUGCAUUUCUGUAAUAGAGGGGUUGAUGAUGGUUGUGGCUUCAUUGGUUCCAAACUUCCUGAUGGGAAUUAUAACAGGCGCUGGAAUCAUUGGUAUCAUGAUGAUGACCUCUGGCUUCUUCCGGUUGUUGCCUGAUCUUCCAAAGCCCUUUUGGCGGUAUCCAAUCUCAUAUCUCAGUUAUGGCUCUUGGGCACUACAGGGUGCUUACAAAAACGACUUGAUCGGGCUCGAGUUCGAGCCAAUGAUACCGGGAAUGCCGAAGUUGAGUGGGGAGUAUGUAAUCACCAAUAUGUAUGGGAUUCCAUUAAGCCAUUCCAAGUGGUGGGACUUAACAGGUCUCAUGCUCCUUGUUCUUCUAUACCGAAUUCUGUUCUUUGUUGUCUUGAAAUUCAAAGAAAGAGCUUCACCAUUUCUGCGGACAAUAUUUGCAAAGAAAACUCUGAAACAUCUCCAGAGAAGACCUUCCUUCCGAACAAUGCCUUCUAUUUCCUCUAAGAGGCACCAACCUCUUCACUCACUUUCUUCUCAAGAAGGUCUCAACUCUCCUCUCAACUAGAAGCUGAAGCACCAAAAACGAUGACUUGGAAAGCUUGUACCUAUAACAAUGUAACUUCUAAGAGAGGAAGUACAAAGAGAGAUGGGCAUGUCCCAUUUAGAAGGUGGAAUACUACUUGGUCGUAUAGAACACUUUAGUAGUACCACAAUUACACGCAGUUAGGCAUAUAAUUAAUGCAUGCACACUGAAUACAGCAUACUUGAUAUACUGUAAUGAUAUAUUUAGAAAAAUCACAGUUCUGAUGGAAUGAGAUUGUACUUUUGUAUUCCAAGAGAACUCAACCUACACAUAGCCAAUGAUCAAGAAGAAGUAAAUGAGAUUGUGGAAAUGGGUCUAUGUGGAUUGUUGGAAACUGGCAUUUAAGAGGCAUUA